GGAAGUAAAAAGUCGUAACAAGGUCUCCGUUGGUGAACCAGCGGAGGGAUCAUU
rnacentral:rRNA from 4 species